AGGAGAUAUACUUGGAGCAUCAGAAUUAUAAGUGCAUCUACAAGAGCAAUUACAACAAUUCUCCAUCAGGUUGGUGUUUAGAAAUCUCAUAUGCAAAUGUGGGAAGACGAUGCCUCAUCAAUGACGAGUAGGUUGAAUCUCUCCUAGCGGCACCAUUGCUCACCACAACUGGUUUGCUUGAGCAACUUAAUGUCACUCUCAAGAGGGACCACCCUUCGACUGACACCUUGAAGCACCACAUAAGCUUUAGAAAGUUGGAAUUGUACUCCGUAUACAUAAAUUACCAUGAUAUUAUAUGUUCCUGUAAUUCUAUGUUGAUUCUUUAGAAAUAAUAUAUACGAUAUUGUAAUGUUUGUUCGACAUCAGUUGAUUUUAUUUGAGUUGACAUAUUUAUAAUAAUAUUAUAUAUUUAUAUUGUCACACAGAUUUUACAUAUCAUAUUGAUAUUUGUUAUUUCAUAUCUAUGUUUUACACUAUUUUUUAACUUCUGUGGCAAGUAUGAAUAAUUGAAAGAUUAAUAUAUGCCUGAUUGGAUGCCGUUGCAACGCACGGGCACCUACCUAGUGUUUUAUAUAAGGUGUAUCUGAAGCACUCCGUUGGUGGAAUUGUCCGUCCAAAAGGCAAAGCGUUUCAUAUAAAGAUCUAGCUCCAAAGUUCUGCAUCCCCAAUACCAUCACAGUACAAGGUAUUGGUAGCACUAGCUUCCUACGACCAAAUCCUUCAGCAGCAUGCAACCAACAUAGUUUUGCAUCUCUUUACAGAGUCCACGGUCUGGCAGCGCAUUCAAAAUUUAAAAUAACAACUACCCGCAGUAGGUUUACCCAGAAUCCUACACAAUUCCCCCAAAAGCGCACUAGCAAAAUCCUCACCUCUUCUCGUAGAGGAGCGCAGAGACAAGGCUGGCAAAGGUCUCAGGCUUCAUGUCCCUCUCCUCGCGCAGCUGAUACAGCUUGUGCCU